AUUUAACGCUGGCGGCAGGCUUAAAACAUGCAAGUCGAGCGAGCGGCGGACGGGUGAGUAAUGUCUGGGAAACUGCCUGAUGGAGGGGGAUAACUACUGGAAACGGUAGCUAAUACCGCAUACCAUCCGAUGUUCCCAGAUGGGAUUAGCUAGUAGGUGGGGUAAUGGCUCACCUAGGCGACGAUCCCUAGCUGGUCUGAGAGGAUGACCAGCCAAACUGGAACCGAGACACGGUCCAGACGCCUACGGGAGGAAGCAGUGGGGAAUAUUGCACAAUGGGCGCAAGCCUGAUGCAGCCAUGCCGCGUGUGUGAAGAAGGCCUUCGGGUUGUAAAGCACUUUCAGCGAGGAGGCGUUACUCGCAGAAGAAGCACCGGCUAACUCCGUGCCAGCCGCCGCGGUAAUUC
rnacentral:rRNA from 1 species